AUGGCUCAGGACGAACGCUGGCGGCACGCUUAACACAUGCAAGUCGAACGGAGUUAUCGAGAGCUUGCUUUGAUAACUUAGUGGCGGACGGGUGAGUAACACGUGAGCAAUCUGCCCUUAAGAGGGGGAUAGCAGUUGGAAACGACUGAUAAUACCGCAUAAGAUAGUAGUACCGCAUGGUACAGCUAUAAAAGAUUUAUCGCUUAAGGAUGAGCUCGCGUCUGAUUAGCUAGUUGGUGAGGUAACGGCUCACCAAGGCAACGAUCAGUAGCCGGACUGAGAGGUUGGACGGCCACAUUGGGACUGAGACACGGCCCAGACUCCUACGGGAGGCAGCAGUGGGGAAUAUCGCACAAUGGAGGAAACUCUGAUGCAGCGAUGCCGCGUGAGGGAAGAAGGUUUUAGGAUUGUAAACCUCUGUUGACAGGGACGAUAAUGACGGUACCUGUUGAGGAAGCUCCGGCUAACCACGUGCCAGCAGCCGC
rnacentral:rRNA from 1 species